UACGGAAGGGGCAAGCGUUGUUCGGAAUCAUUGGGCGUAAAGGGCGCGUAGGUGGUUCUGUAUGUCUACCGUGAAAGCGUACGGCUCAACUGUAUUUUGUCGGUAGAAACUGCAGGACUUGAGGCUGGGAGGGGCUGGUGGAAUUCCCUGUGUAGCGGUGAAAUGCGUAGAGAUGGGGGAGAACACUCGUGGCGCAGGCGGCCAGCUAGACCAGUUCUGACACUGAGGCGCGACAGCGUGGGGAGCAAACAGG
rnacentral:rRNA from 1 species